GCCGGGGUGGCGGAAUGGCAGACGCUACGGACUUAAAAUCCGUUGACCGUAAGGUCGUGCGGGUUCGACUCCCGCCCUCGGCACCA
rnacentral:tRNA from 3 species